rnacentral:rRNA from 1 species
CCCUGCCCUUUGUACACACCGCCCGUCGCUCCUACCGAUUUCGAGUGGUCCGGUGAACCUUCUGGACUGGGACACCUAGUGUUCCGGGAAGUUAAGUAAACCUUAUCACUUAGAGGAAGGAGAAGUCGUAACAAGGUUUCCGUAGGUGAA